CGUUCCAGUGGUAUCUCCUAACCAUAUUCAUAAAAUUACAGAACUUUAAGGAAAAGGAGACUUCCAGUCUCCUUUUUUAAAAUAGAUCAAUUAAAAUAAGUUGGAUACCUAGAGUCACAGGUUAUUUGGGGGGACAAUCCCUUAAUAUUGUUAUUUAUAUGUGCCUACUUAAACUUGGUAGCUUUUUGAGACCUAAAAUGCUAUUCUUGUUUUCCUUAAAAAUAGGAAAUGUGGAGGGAUCCUUUGCAAGCAUGAAAAGGAAAACCAGUUCAGGAACAGAAAGGGCUUCCCUGGUGGCGCAGUGGAUGAGAGUCCGCCUGCCGAUGCAGGGGACAUGGGCUCGUGCCCCGGUCCGGGAAGAUUCCACAUGCCGUGGAGCAGCUAGACCCGUGAGCAAUGACCGCUGAGCCUGCGCGUCCGGAGCCUGUGCUCCGCAACGGGAGAGGCCACAACAGUGAGAGGCCCGCAUACCGAAAAAAAAAAAAAAAAAAAAAAGGAACAGAAAGAAGAAAUGGUGAUUUCACAGAUUUGAAGAAUGAACAGGUGUAGAAAUGAAACAAAUUUUUUUUUUGGCAUUUGCAGAACCUUGUAUAGUCUUCUGCAAACCAUCAGGAGGCUGCAUCUCUUCCUUCUUUGAACUUACACUGAAAUUUUUAUUCCCUUCGUGGCAUCAAGACACUCUACUUGUUCAAUCACUAUACUAGGAAAAGUUAAGUUCCAGUAAUAGCUACACAGCAGGAUGUCAUUUGGAAAUUUAAUGUGCUACAAUCCAGUGAUGCCACCGGUGUUGUUACUGAGGUCUGCAGUGUUGUGCUUCUCUGCUUUUUCAGUGAUUCUCUCCUUCCUUCCCCAUUAGUCUUAAGAACAAGAGGUUUUAGUCCUCGUGUCCAAAGUUAACUCUUCCACUGCUUCCUCUGGGAUAGAAUUCCUUUAAAAAUAAAUCCUUUACCUUAAAAAAUGUAUAGGUUUUCCCACCUUGAAAAACUCACAAAUAACUUUAUCCUACUGUGUCAAUGAUUUUUUUCUAUAAUGUACAAAGAUAAAAUUAUCAUUUCUAGACUAUAAACUCCUUAAGAGCAGGGACUGACAGUGGUUAUCUUUUAUAAUAGCCAGUACAGUGCCGACAAUGAAGAGAAUGUACAAUAAAUGUUGAGUUAUUUCUCAAAUUAAAUUAUUAGCUUACAAAUUCAAUAAAAAUUUUAGGAGUCAUGAGUCCUCUUGUCCUAUUAUUACCCCGUGAGGAAAAACAGGUUUGAUUUGGAUUUACCCCAGUCUAUUUACAUAUAUAUAAUAACAUCCGAUUAUAAUAGCUAUCAGCAAUGUGUUCUUCCUCCAAAAGACAUCAGCACAAUUUUGAUCCUAAGGCAAGCUCUUUAAGAUGCCAAAGUAAAAAUACCAAAACCUACUUCAUUCUUAUGAGGAGAGGGGAGGUAGUCUAGAGGGAGAGACAAAAGCACCAUGGCCAACAACUAAGCAACUA